CUUUCUUUGCUGGCGACCGGCGCACGGGUGAGUAACACGUAUCCAACCUGCCCUUUACUCGGGGAUAGCCUUUCGAAAGAAAGAUUAAUACCCGAUAGUAUAAUGAUUCCGCAUGGUUUCAUUAUUAAAGGAUUCCGGUAAAGGAUGGGGAUGCGUUCCAUUAGGUUGUUGGUGAGGUAACGGCUCACCAAGCCUUCGAUGGAUAGGGGUUCUGAGAGGAAGGUCCCCCACAUUGGAACUGAGACACGGUCCGA
rnacentral:rRNA from 1 species